rnacentral:rRNA from 1 species
UACGUAGGGAGCAAGCGUUGUCCGGAAUCAUUGGGCGUAAAGCGCGCGUAGGCGGCCCCGUAAGUCCGCUGUGAAAGUCAAAGGCUCAACCUUUGAAAGCCGGUGGAUACUGUGGGGCUAGAGUCCGGAAGAGGCGAGUGGAAUUCCUGGUGUAGCGGUGGAAUGCGCAGAUAUCAGGAGGAACACCAAUAGCGAAGGCGGUCUC